rnacentral:rRNA from 1 species
UUCGCCCUUAGAGUUUGAUCCUGGCUCAGGAUGAACGCUGGCGGCGUGCUUAACACAUGCAAGUCGAACGAAGCAUUUAAGACAGAUUACUUCGGUUUGAAGUCUUUUAUGACUGAGUGGCGGACGGGUGAGUAACGCGUGGGUAACCUGCCUCAUACAGGGGGAUAGCAGCUGGAAACGGCUGGUAAUACCGCAUAAGCGCACAGCUUCGCAUGAAGCAGUGUGAAAAACUCCGGUGGUACAGGAUGGACUCGCGUCUGAUUAGAUAGUUGGUGAGGUAACGGCCCACCAAGUCAACGAUCAGUAGCCGGCUUGAGAGGGCGAACGGCCACAUUGGGACUGAGACACGGCCCAAACUCCUACGGGAGGCAGCAGUGGGGAAUAUUGCACAAUGGGGGAAACCCUGAUGCAGCGACGCCGCGUGAGUGAAGAAGUAUUUCGGUAUGUAAAGCUCUAUCAGCAGGGAAGAAAACAAUGACGGUACCUGACUAAGAAGCCCCGGCUAACUACGUGCCAGCAGCCGCGGUAAUACGUAGGGGGCAAGCGUUAUCCGGAUUUACUGGGUGUAAAGGGAGCGUAGACGGUAGACCAAGUCUGAAGUGAAAGCCCGGGGCUCAACCCCGGAACUGCUUUGGAAACUGGUAAACUAGAGUGCAGGAGAGGUAAGUGGAAUUCCUAGUGUAGCGGUGAAAUGCGUAGAUAUUAGGAGGAACACCAGUGGCGAAGGCGGCUUGCUGGACGACAACUGACGCUGAGGCGCGAAAGCGUGGGGAGCAAACAGGAUUAGAUACCCUGGUAGUCCACGCUGUAAACGAUGAAUACUAGGUGUGGGAGGACUGACCCCUUCCGUGCCGCAGUUAACACAAUAAGUAUUCCACCUGGGGAGUACGACCGCAAGGUUGAAACUCAAAGGAAUUGACGGGGGCCCGCACAAGCAGUGGAUUAUGUGGUUUAAUUCGACGCAACGCGAAGAACCUUACCAGGACUUGACAUCCAACUAACGAAGUAGAGAUACAUUAGGUGCCCUUCGGGGAAAGUUGAGACAGGUGGUGCAUGGUUGUCGUCAGCUCGUGUCGUGAGAUGUUGGGUUAAGUCCCGCAACGAGCGCAACCCCUAUUGUUAGUUGCUACGAAAGAGCACUCUAGCGAGACUGCCGUUGACAAAACGGAGGAAGGCGGGGACGACGUCAAAUCAUCAUGCCCCUUAUGUCCUGGGCUACACACGUAAUACAAUGGUGGAAAACAGAGGGAAGCAAAGCCGCGAGGCAGAGCAAAACCCUAAAAGCCAUCUCAGUUCGGAUUGCAGGCUGCAACUCGCCUGCAUGAAGCUGGAAUUGCUAGUAAUCGCGGAUCAGAAUGCCGCGGUGAAUACGUUCCCGGGCCUUGCACACACCGCCCGUCA